rnacentral:rRNA from 1 species
GAUGAACGCUGGCGGCGUGCCUAAUACAUGCAAGUCGAGCGAACAGACGAGGAGCUUGCUCCUUUGACGUUAGCGGCGGACGGGUGAGUAACACGUGGAUAACCUACCUAUAAGACUGGGAUAACUUCGGGAAACCGGAGCUAAUACCGGAUAACAUGUUGAACCGCAUGGUUCAACAGUGAAAGACGGUUUUGCUGUCACUUAUAGAUGGAUCCGCGCCGCAUUAGCUAGUUGGUAAGGUAACGGCUUACCAAGGCAACGAUGCGUAGCCGACCUGAGAGGGUGAUCGGCCACACUGGAAGUGAGACACGGUCCAGACUCCUACGGGAGGCAGCAGUAGGGAAUCUUCCGCAAUGGGCGAAAGCCUGACGGAGCAACGCCGCGUGAGUGAAGAAGGUCUUCGGAUCGUAAAACUCUGUUAUUAGGGAAGAACAAAUGUGUAAGUAACUAUGCACGUCUUGACGGUACCUAAUCAGAAAGCCACGGCUAACUACGUG